CCCUCCUGGCGCCCCCAUCCUGCUCCCCGCGUCUUUAUGAGAGAUCGUUUCGUGAUGUUAGCUCUUUGUUAUAAAAACAUGCGUAGGGAAUACCGCUUGUGGUCCCUCAUCAAAGAGCCGGGUUAACUUCUAGCUACCAGCCGCGGUAAUUCGUUAGUGGCAAGCGUUGUCCGGUAUUUUUGAGUGGGGCCGCGCGUACGCGGUUUCUUGUCUUGAUGUUAAAUUUUCGGUCUCCCCGUGUCGGGACAUUGGCUACUGGCAGACUUGAAUGCAGGGAUCAAGUGGAAUACCUUGUAUACCCGGGAGUGCGCAAAGAUCUGGAGGAACACUCGAGGCGUACGCGACUUAAAGGCCUGUACCCUGACGCUGAUGUGCGAAAUCAUGUGGAAACGACGGAAAAGAAAAACCUGGCUAGUCCACGCUGUAAACCACUGAGUGCAAACCGUUCCGGCGUUUCCGCCCCCUUUACCGUCGCAGCUAGCUCAACAAAACACUCCGCCCUGGCGAGCACCAGCCUGAAGGAUUGAAAUCUCAAAUGGAAAUUGAUCUGGAACCGUACUCAGCGGAGGCGCCAAGUGGUUUUAAUUCCAAGGCCAUCAUUAAGAACCCUUAGCCGUGUCAUAGAAAUUCCUUAGGACCUUCUUAUAGGGUGUAGAAGAUCUCCUCCCAUCAGGGCUAUAAGCUGACCUGGUGGGUGUGAUUGGCUGUACAUCGUGUUUGGGUCGGCUGGCUGUUUUGUUAUCGUUCAGAAAUCGGGGUCAAUUUUCUUCCCACUCUAAACCAGCCAGCACUUUGAUCUAGGGUUUUGAUCAAGGGAUAGAUCUGUCUGGUUGAACACAAACUGGAGAAGAAAGGGUGGGGGGCAAAGAGCUACAAAAUUCAAUGUAGGCACUCACUUAGAACGGAUUUACCGUCUCUUAACGUCCUUCGCUCUAGCACAUACGGCGUAUACGAAGACGGAGAGGGGGGCUUCAACUCCUCAAAGACGACUCUGUGUGGGGAGUGGGAGUAUCUGUGAGUGU
rnacentral:rRNA from 1 species